GUAAAUUCUUAUCAGCGAUUAGCCAUUUUGUUCCCAUUUCCUCUCUGCUCUUCCGAGUCUUCUCCAAAGCGAAGUGAGAAGCAAACCAUGAGCAAUCGCAGCUUCUUGGGAUUGGAGCUAUUAACCUCUACAACCCAAUUCUCAGUCUUCACCACCACCGCCGCCGCCGCCGCUGCUUUCUGCUCUUUUAAUGAAAAAGUUUCACCAGCAACCCUCAAAUUUCCCUCUAUAUCGUCUCCCUCUCUUUUCCCGCCCACCAAACACAGAACAAGAGCAAAAAGUCACAGCUUUAACAUCAGUUCUAUAGCAAGUGGUGUUGCAAAUGUUGAAGUGGAAAAACAAGUUGAGGUGGAAGUUGCAGAAGGUUACACUAUGACCCAAUUUUGCGAUAAGAUAAUUGAUGUGUUUUUGAAUGAGAAGCCUAGAGUUAGAGAAUGGAGAAAGUAUUUGGUGUUUAGGGAAGAGUGGAACAAGUACAGAGAAAGAUUCUACAAUAGGUGCCAAACGCGGGCUGAUAUGGAGACUGAUCCAACUUUGAAGCAGAAAUUUGCUUCACUUGCGGCUAAAGUGAAGAGGGUAUGUUACCCAUGUCUUAUUUUCUUUCUCUCCAUUGUCCCCCUGAGAAUUUCUGUUAUUGUUAGCUUUGAAUUUGCAGUUAUUGCUUCGUUUGUUUGGUUCCAAAGAAAUGACAGUCGCAAACUAAAAACCAAUUGGUAGAGUGGGAUUUUGAUUUUGUUUUGGACGUUAGUUUUCUUCCCUUUUUCUAACGGCCAAACAGAGGGUUGAUUGGCUAUAGACACUCUUUUGGGUUUAGAGCUUCAUUUAAUUCUGUGUACUCAGGAAUAAGCAUUGCAGAUUGAUGAAGAAAUGGAAAAAAACUCUCAACUUCUGAAGGAAAUUCAAGACAACCCAACUGAUUUAAAUGCAAUUGUCACAAAGCGGCGCAAGGACUUCACAGGGGAGUUCUUCCGUUACCUAACCCUUCUUUCAGAAACUUAUGAUGCUUUGGAGGACCGUGAUGGUACAUUACUGGAUCUAAAUUGCUUGGUUUGUUUUAGAUUAUUUGGAAUCAGGAUGAUGAUUGUAAAAUAAUAUAUUCUGUUAACUAUUGGCAACUCGCCCUUUGUUUCAAAGAAUUGUCUGCUUUUAUAUUAAUACAUCUGCAUAAUAGCUAUGACUAUGAGCCAUAUGAUAAAAAUUUUCCUACUACACUAAUCUUGUUAUUGCCCUUAAUGACAAAUUUUCUGAAAAUGAUUACCUAUAAAGGUUUAGGUCACUCAUCUGAUAUGAAUAUCUAUUUAUUUGAACAGCAAUAGCCAGGCUAGCGACUAGAUGCUUGUCUGCUAUUAGUGCAUUUGACAGGACACUGGAGAAUGUGGAGACAUUAGAUGCUGCCCAGGCCAAAUUUGAUGAAAUUCUUAACUCUCCUUCAGUGGAUGUUGCAUGCGAAAAUAUCAAAAGCCUAGCCAAGACAAAAGAACUUGACUCUUCAUUGAUUCUAUUUAUAAACAGUGCUUGGGCAGCAGCAAAAGAUUCCACGCAUAUGAAAAAUGAGGUUAAGGAGAUCAUGUAUCGCAUCUACAAAGCCACAAAGAGCAGCCUUAGAAGCAUGGCCCCUAAAGAAAUAAAGCUACUUAAGCAUUUGCUGAACAUUGCAGAUCCUGAGGAGCGAUUUUCAGCAUUAGCAACAGCAUUCUGUCCAGGUGAUGAACGUGAAGCCAAGGACCCUUAUGCUUUAUACACUACUCCAAAAGAACUGCACAAGUGGAUUAAGAUCAUGCUUGAUGCAUACCAUCUCAAUAAGGAGGAGACUGACGUCAGGGAAGCUAAGCAGAUGACUCAACCUGUUGUCAUACAAAGGUUGUUCAUCCUAAAAGAAACUAUUGAAGAGGAAUACUUAGAUAAAACCACCUUUCAAACAGAGACAGAAGAGGAUGCUAAAUCAGGAGACUUGUGAUGUUCUGUUCAGUUUUUGUUGAUAUCUCUAUUGCCUUUCACUUUUCUGGUAGAUAGUAGUUUGUAAGAUGAUGCCUCAAUUCUGAAUUGUCAAUCAAGCCAACAACCAAACGCUUUUUUCACAUCAUAUUCUUGAAGAGCAAGGGAAACUUAGAAGAAAUUUUCCAUGAUAGUUUCUGUUGGAGGUCUAAUAUUUCUCAUGUAGGAAAUCACCUGACAUUUUUAGGUUUUUUUUCCUUCUUUCCUCUUGGAGGAGGGUUGAUGCAGCCAAGGAAAAAUUCAUAGUAGAAGCUUAGGAUUAUGGUUCAAUUUUACCGUUGAGUUUAUAGGGAAAUUAUAAAUUACUUUCUAGUUUUAGAGUUUUAUUUACGUGUCUCUUUAUAGUGUUAUUAAAUAAUAUGGAGUUUAAGAAAGCAAACAUUUGGUCUUGUAUUCAUCUUUGAGGGAUUAAUUUUUUCUUUUAAUAUUUAUAAACAUUAUGC
rnacentral:misc_RNA from 1 species